CGCGGGGAGCCGCGGUGGCAGAGGAUGGGGCCCCGUGUGGAGGGCGGACGCCCGGGGAGAGGAGCCAGAAGAUGCAGACUCGGAGGGAGAGGAAGAGGGGACGACGAGGAGGAAGAGGCGCUGCUGAGCAGAGAGCCCCCGCUGCCAGCCGGCGCCCAGUGCGAGUGCUUGAUUCACCCAGACAUUGAGUGGGGCCUCAGAAGCGGACGCUGACCCCAGCUGGCGCGUGAUCCUGGACCUGGCAAAGCGGCCGGCCUGCGGCUGGAUGAGCAUGAGGGACGAGCACAUCGCCGGACGGUCAUCCGCACCAGCACCCUCCGCGUGUCUCUGCUGACAGACAAAACAGAAGCCUAUGGCAGCGUCAGUAACGGUGUCAGCCGCCCCCACGGACCCGCCUCAGCCCCGCUCCCCGUCGGCUCUCUUCACACGCAUAUCUUUGGGGGACACAAAGCUGGGAAAGAGUCCCACAGAAGGCACCAGCUCUGCAGACACCUCCUGUGAGUCAUCCUGAAAUGCAGCCAUUCAGCAUGCAGCACUUACCACGGCAGAACCAUCUUGAACACUGGCAGCUCCACAGACCCUGCGCAAGAGUACAAGUGUGACAAAGAAGGACCCCCACCCCACCCCCACGGGCAGCACACAGCUCCACACAGACCCCUGGGCAAUGUGGCACCAGCUCCCGUGUCCCCUGGGGCCCACACAGACGAUCCGUGUUCCGUUCCCCUCCCUUCUCAGGCCCAAGGCCCUGGGUUCCCUAUGAAGUUGCCUGUCCUCAGUGGCCAUGGCCAUCUCCCGAGGGCCCUGUGGGCCAAAGUUCUUAGUGUGGAGGGCAGUCCUGCCUGUGGGGGACAGCUCCGACUGUGCUGUGUGGAAUGUUCUGAAAUGUGGCAGAUGGCGGCCAUUUAGAGACCAUGAAGUAGUGCCUUAGCUCCCUCUGACCCCAGCUGACCCUUCACCCCCCUCCGCACUCUGGUUCUUACCAGGAUGGUCAGUGGGCUGUGUCCCGGACACUCCCUUCUCAGGAAUGCUCUGGGGACACCAGGGUUCUGGGGCUCCCAGUGGCCUCGGGCUGUGGCUGGUGUGGGAGAGGCGUCUUUGAGCUUCACUAGGGGAGGAAGAAGGGGUGACAUCUUCAAGGAACAGCAGCUAGUACUUUGUGGGGAGCACAGUCACUCCAAGGACCUUCAGGGACAGAGGACAAGCUGCACAGAAGGGUUAGCCUGGGGCAUGGAAACACAGCGAGGGACCACCAGGGCUCUGGUGGCUCGAUGGGUCAUGCCCUGGGCUGCCCAUCAGCCGUUCCAAGGGUGAAAGAGGCCAUCUGCUCUGUGGAGACACCCACAGGGCAGGAUUGGUUCUGGGCUGAUACCUCACGGUGCAGUUCUGCUCCGAUGCACAUGGGGGCGCCCUGAACCCAAGCAGAUUCCAGGCCAACCGGCUAGUUUGGACUGAAGGUGUCUGGGUGAGGCCUGGUGGAGCAGUGGGUCAGAUGUUGGGCUGAUCACCGGGGUCGGUGGUUCAAACCCACUAAGAGGCUGUCUGCUUCCGUAAAGACUGACCUCCUCAAA